rnacentral:misc_RNA from 1 species
CAGCGCGAAGGUAACCCACACACGUGCUCACAAAGACGUGCACGCGCUCCUUCUUCGCCCUCCCCUCCUGCAUUGUUUGUGCUGCCUCUCAGUGACGCAACGGGAGGGCGCGCUGUCGACGCGGCUGCAUCUCGCGUCAAGAAAAGCCGGACCUGCUUCUCCGUCACCUCAACUAAGGGCUUGGUGGGCCCCACAACGUGCCUUUCACACUCCUCCCCGCCCACACCGGUCGCUGCCACAGACGCCGCGCGCUACAGGGCCUGCAGCACCUCCUCGACCCUCGUGGCUCUCUCUCUCCCGUUCCUCCGACCUGGCAUGUUGUCUAGCGGCUUGGACGAGCAGUUUCUGCACCGCUGCUGCGUGCAGCUGUCGGCGCCGCUAGUCGACCCCGCGGUGCUGAGCACGGAGCAGGGCAACGCGACCCGGUUUGCAAAACAGCACGCCGCGGCCCACCCUCGCGAGGUUGCCCGCGCGCUCAUCUGGCGCGUCGUCGACAGUGCCGAUGACACGCUCGACCAGUCCGUGAACGAAGACCGCGCCGGGGCGUGGAGCGUGCUGACCGCUGUGAUUGCGGAGUGCGGCGACGCGAGCAGCGAGGUAUUCCGCACGUCGCUUGGGGACCAUCUGGCCUCUCUCCUGCCCUACCUCGUUGGAUAUCGCUGGCAUACGUCGGUGCGCAGCAUUCAGGAGGACGGGCUCCACAGCAGCGCCGAGGUUGUACUCAACUACGACAAGGUUGUCCCAGCGUCGCUGAUCAACGGCUUUAGCUCUCGCAACGUCGACUCGUACGCGGUGGCGACGAUGAACCGCCGCUACCGCAAGUACCUCACCCUGUGGAAGUCUGUGUGGCGCCCAGACGUGUAUCAGACACUGAAGGACAUGGUCAAGCGCGUCGAGGCGACCGGCAACUUCCUGCCUCCCAUGGCGGAGGAUGUGUUGGUCGUGCCGGACGGGUAUCGGGAGAGUCUGUGGCGGCUGCGCCGCACAGCGCCGCGGCCGAGCAUCACGCUGGAGCUGCUGCGCAACUAUGGGUGGCCAAUGACGAUGAUUCCGCGCGAGAACAACAACACGGUGCGGGCGCCGAGCUACGUGCUGCCGAAGACAGAGGCAGAGCUGCGCCAACUGGACCCGGCAAUGCACCGGACGGUGUUUCAGUGGCUCAAGACCAUGCAUCAGAAGCGCGGCGGGUGUGCUGGAUGCGAUUCCUGGGACCACACGGAUACCCGUUGCCCGUGCGAAGGGCCUUUCUGGCGCUCCCCGAGCGACGAGAACGCCAUGAAGACCCAUCGCGCGCUGGUCGCCACCGUCACCGGCGGCGCGGCGCUGCCGGUCUUGACCUACGUGCAGUCCGCCCGCAUCCUCUACGCGUCAAAUCUUCGGCUGCCGCUGCGCGUGCCGGAGGCCCUCGACACAAUCGCAAUGCUCAUCCGCGACGAGAAGCCCUACGAGGAGCUGCUCGCCGCCUUCGACACGGUGCGUGGUGCCGUGACAGGCCCGCGCGAGCGGCACGCCUUGUGGCGGCACGCCUCCUACCACCUGUUACCCUCCAAGACGGUGUUUGCGAAACCGCACGAUGAAGCGCUCAGCCCGUGCAUGAACAAGAUCCGCAACCUCUUCCGGAGCUCACGCCGUUUCCAGGAGUGGGAGCAGCUGAUGGACGCGGUAGACGUGCUUGACAUGUGCUUCCGCCGCCGCGAUGUGUCCAGUCGCGUUCGCCGUAACCUCGAAGAGGUGCAGGCAACGGCCUCGUUUUUCUUCUGUCUGGUGGACGGCUCCCUCGCGGCGAGCUUCAACCCUGCCACGUACGCGCGAGUGCCAGAGGAGGUCGAGGCGCUGGCCCCCCUAAAAGACAACCUAUGCCGUGUCUGCCUCGAGCCGUUCCACACGGCGGUAACCUGCCCCAUUGUUCGCGAAGACGAAGAGGCCGAGCACCGCCGCCACAGCACCGGCACCAGCGCGACGAAGCCCGUUAUCGAGGAGUGGGACCUGCAGGUGGCGCGCCGCGUUCUAGAGGACAACGAUUGCCUGUUCAUGAAGUACCCGGCGGAGGCGUACCGGCUCGCGGCCGCAAUGGAGCGCAUCGACGUGGACGACCGGCCUGCAAAGGACUUCCGCAAGGCUGAGCUGCAACUGGCGGUGAAGCUCAUCCAUGAGCGGCGCGUCGCCGUGUGCCCCCAAUGCAACGUAACCGGGCACAGCUUGCGCAACUGCGAGCGCCGCGCGUACCGCGCGCUGAGUCGAGAGUCGCUGCGGCCGAUCGACGUGCGGCUUGACCCCCACAAGCUCCGUCAGUGUGUACGGCGCUACGCGUCAGAGGACGCCUUGCACGGCGAGCUGCUGGAUGCUAUGGACCUGUACGGGCGCGGUGCACAACUGCUGCCAACCGCCUUCAUGAAAGCCAUCCGCGAGAUGGACGACGCCCGUAUCCCGCUUGCUGCGGCCCGCUACGCGACGGACACGGUGCAGAGCUUUCUGCUCUUCAGCAACUCCACCGACCUCCUGCAGCACCUUCGCCAGUUUCGAGCCGCCCGCUUCCCUGAGGUGUGCAUCUUCUGCGACUCGUACCACCACCGCAGCGAGGACUGCACCCGCUGCCGCGAGGACGAGCGCGGGUACCUGCAGGAGCUACGUCGCACCGGCCUGACUCUCUGGACGUAUCUGCUGCACCGCGACGCCUAUGACCAGCUGCUGCCGACGGAUUACGCACGCGGCAAGGAGAGCGUGUUGGCGCUUGUUGAACAAUUUGAGACCGACUACCGCCCUGGCGGCGUUGGUCGCUCACGCUUCUUCAAGGAUAACGAUCUGCCCGACAUGACACCAGGAGCCAUGAUAGCGAACACGUACGCGUCCAUCACUGAAACUCCGAUAUCGACGCAGACCCGCGCGGCAGCGGCGGAGACGUCGACCGGGGCAACAGAGACCGCCACGGCCGAGACGGUCGGGGCCGCGGGCGGCGAGGCCGCGCUGAAUGGGGGCGAGGAAGACACUCUCGGCCGCGUCAGCGACAGUAGUGACGAUAAGCACCAAAGUGCACUGGCGAACUGCGCGCUGUCGGAGGAGGGGCAUCCACGAAAAAAGCGGCCCCGCAGCGAUGGUGACGGCGAGCAGGCGGACACGGACGCACGAGCGGGCGAGGAAGCCCGUGUGCGGCAGGAUACGGCGGAGGAGCCGCCCACGGCACGUGUGCACGUGGAACAAGAAGCGUAGUAAGGUGGCACCACAAAAAUGCUGUUUAAGGUGGCGCGCGGAAUAUUGAGGCGACGAUAAUGAGGGCGAUGCUGCUGUUGUUGCGACUCUGUAGGGGUGCCCCUGUGUGUUGGUGUGUGUGCUUGUGUCUGUCGAAGCAAGAGAAGGACAAGGGUAUGUCUGUAUGCAAGAUGUGGUGGCUGUUGGCUUGUUUGCGGGCGCGUAUUAUGGUGUGCAUGCGUAGGCGUGUGCGCGCGCUGCUCGGUUCUCUGCGUCUUUUGUCUUCCUCUUUGUUUGGGAAACGAACCAGCGAAAAUAAGGCAGCGCGUGUGCGCGCGUGUGCGCGCGUACCUCUCUUUG